rnacentral:rRNA from 1 species
UAGCCGUAAACGAUACUCGCUAGGUGUCGGCCACGGUGCGACCGUUGUCGGUGCCGUAGGGAAGCCGUGAAGCGAGCCACCUGGGAAGUACGGCCGCAAGGCUGAAACUUAAAGGAAUUGGCGGGGGAGCACCACAACGGGUGGAGCUUGCGGUUUAAUUUGGAUUCAACGCCGGACAACUCACCAGGAGCGACGGUUACAUGAAGGCCAGGCUAAUGACCUUGCCUGAUUUUCCGAGAGGAGGUGCAUGGCGUAGUCGUGU